GUUAGUUCUUUAAACCCAAAGAAUUUGGCGGUGUUUUAGUCUAUUCAGAGGAACUUGCCCUUUAAUCGAUAGUCCUCGUUUUAUCUAGCUUAUUUUUGUUUUAGUAUGUAUAUCGCCGUUAUAAGUUUAUUUUUUUAGGAUUUUAAUUUACUUAUUAUUUUAUUAAAUUUUAUUUCAGGUCAAGGUGCAGUUUAUAAUUAAGUAGUGGUGAGUUACAAUAUUUUUGAAUAAAUGAAUUUUGAUUUUAAAAAUUAGAUGAAGGUGGAUUUGAUAGUAAUUUUAAUGAUAGAGUUAAUUUGAUUUUUAGCUCUGGAACAAGUACACAUCGCCCGUCGCUCU
rnacentral:rRNA from 1 species